AUGAUGGCCCCCAUUUCCCAAAUGCCUACUAUAUUUCAGGAUUUCUCAGCAAGGACUGGUAGAACUUGACUUGACUGCCAGCUUUUAUCUGGACCGGACUUCACAAAGCAGGGUGAAAGAAUUUGCAUGAUCUCCAUGGUGGCUAAUCAUAUAAUUUCCAGUUUCAGCAGCUGGCACCAGCUAUUUGCUCCCCCGCUACCCAAGCAAUUCUAGUAACUGUGAGAUAUCCUAUGAAUCACAGAACAAAUGCCCAACUCCUUUCUACAGUCACGGGGUCAGAGUACACAGCCAACCCACUAGCAGAGCUGGAGUUAUGGUUUGAGCCAAAGUACAACAAGGAAGGAGGAAGCCCCAACCUACCCCGGACAUGCCCUGAAUGACACAGCCAUUUAGGGCCUGCCAAAGAUGCCAUUCUGUUUGCAAACACAUAUUACCUGCCAUAUCACUCAACAAAAUAAUUCCAUCAGAAGGCCUGAAGGCAAAUGACUAAUGUUAAAAGUGGCCCAUGCAUCAUUUCAGUGACAACUCCACAGGCGCCAAUUAAACAUGGAAAAGACCUGUUCUGAAGCAUGCCCAUCUGGCAUUUCCCAAGGAACUGUAGUCAAUGGCUGAUAAAACAUACAUGAUCAUAACUAUAAAGAAAUUUCGCAGCCCUCUCCUUGCUCAAAAGCAACCGGGGCCUAUGAGGACAAUGAACCUGGAAGACACCCAAAAGAGGAGGUGAGUAAAGAAAAGCCUGCAUUUGAAGCCACCACUGCUCUUCCUCAUGCACAGAAAGCAAAGAUCGGGAGUUGCAUGAGGUCAGAUUUUCAGCCACCAAAAACAAACAAACAAAAAAACCAACCAAACCUCAAAAAAAACCCAGACGGGUCUAGGGAAUACUUGGGAGUUUGUCUGGUAGUCUGUGGGUGAACUUCAAUUGUUAUGUCUCCGAGUGAAAUAAAGGAUUGGCAGUAGUCCA